GAAAAACAAAUAUUAAAAAAAAUAAAACGUGAAAUAUUAUUUGGGAAAAAAACUGCAUGACAACAAUCUCGUUCCAUACAAAUAGAUACAAAAAAAGACAAUACAUAAAUAAAAAUAAUUAACUGAAAAAUUAUAUAAUAAUUGACGCGGCUGCUUUGCUAUUUUGCUUUCACAUUAUUUAACACCAGAGGAUAGGCUGCCAGUGGUGGCCAUCAUCAUUACCUUACUGUCACCGCAGAUGGCUAUCACCGGCGCGUCCGGUUCCGACUCACCAGACGUCCAAGCUCCUCUCCUAUACGACACCGUCGAGGGCUGCGUUGAUUACAAAGGCCGUCCCGUUUAUAAAUCCAAUUCAGGCGGCUGGAGAUCUGCGUCUUUUAUAAUAGGAGUGGAGGUUGCAGAGAGAUUUGCCUUCUAUGGGAUAUCGUCGAACCUUAUUACGUAUUUGACCGGGCCACUUGGUCAGUCGACGGCUACUGCGGCGGAGAACGUCAACGCCUGGUCGGGAACGGCGUCGUUGCUGCCUUUGUUAGGUGCAUUUGUUGCCGAUUCAUUUCUUGGGAGAUUCCGUACUAUUGUUGUUGCCUCUCUUACCUACAUAUUGGGACUUGGCUUGUUGACUCUAUCAGCAAUGCUUCCUUCUUUCAGUGCUUCUGACUGCCCAAGCAUCAACAUUAUCACCUCGUGUUCAGCUAAUCCAAUUCAGGUAGUCUUAUUCUUCUUUUCUCUAUAUUUGGUA
rnacentral:misc_RNA from 1 species